rfam:TPA: Bos taurus chromosome 25, whole genome shotgun sequence.
UCCCUGGUGGCUCAGAUGGUAAAGAAUCUGCCUGCAAUGUAGGAGACUCAGGUUCGAUCCCUGGGUGGGGAA